UACAGAGGUGGCAAGCGUUGUUCGGAAUUACUGGGCGUAAAGGGCGCGUAGGCGGCCUUCUAAGUCAGACGUGAAAUCCCCAGGCUUAACUUGGGAACUGCGUCUGAUACUGGGAGGCUUGAAUGCGGGAGAGGGAUGUGGAAUUCCAGGUGUAGCGGUGAAAUGCGUAGAUAUCUGGAGGAACACCCAGGGGGAAACCAGCGGACUGGGCAUCAGCUGACGCUCAGGUGCGACAGCGUGGGGAGCGAACCGG
rnacentral:rRNA from 1 species